UCUUGAAGAACAUUCUAGAAAGAAAAGCAGAAGAUUUUGGGAAUGGAAAUGGGGUUACAAGCAGGUAGACACUAAAAAUGAGAAGAAGAGAAGGAACAGCAAAGGUAGGAAAAGAAAUGGGAGAGCAGGAGUUCCCAUGAGGAUGCAGAUUUGAUCCCUGGCCUUUGAUCCUGUGGCUCCGUGGCUCGGAUCUCAGAUCUCUACAUAGCUGAGGCUGUGACAUAGCCUGGGAACUUCUGUAUGUCAUGGGUGUGGCCCUAAAAAACAAACAAACAAAAAAACAAAAAAGAAAGCAAGAAAGAAAUGAGAGGGAGUUAGUGGCUCAGUGGUUAAGGAAUCCUACUAAGAACCAUGAGGUUGCAGGUUCGAUCCCUGGCCUUGCUCAGUGGGUUAAGGAUCCACCGUUGCCGUGAGCUGUAGUGUAGGUUGUAGACGUGGCUCAGAUCCCACAUUGCUGUGGCUCUGGUGUAGUCUUGGCAGCUACAGCUCCGAUUAGAUCCCUAGCCUGGGAACCUCCAUAUGCCUCGGAUGCAGCCCUAGAAAAGGCAAAAAAAAGGAAGAAAAAAAAAAAUGGGAGCGUAAACUGUUCAUAGUUGGGGUGGUCUUGAUAAUGUUUCCCAAAAGAUGUCCAUGUUCUAGUUCCUAGAACCCAAGAAUGUGUUAUUUUACCUAGCAAAUGGGUCUUUUCCAUUGUGAUUAAAUUAAGGAUUUUUGAGAUGGGAAGAUUAUCCUGGAUUGUUUGGGUGGACCCAGUGUAAUCAUGGAUCCUUUUAAGAAGGAGACAGGAGGAUGAGAGUCGCAGAAGGUGAUGAGAUGACAGAAGUGAGGGCCUGAGAGAUGUGCCCCAGGAAAGGUCGACAGCCUCUUGGAAGCUCGAAGAAGCAAGGAAUAGAUUCUCCCUUAGAUCUUUCAGAACUGUAAGAGAAUAAAUAUGUGUUGCUCUAAGCCAGUAAAAUUGUAAUUUGUUACAGUAGUGAUAGGAAACUAAUGCGAUGAUUAACAAUUGAAAACAACCUCAGUACCGAACAGUGAUGGAUUGGCUAAAUAAGUUACAACAUAUAAGUUACAGACUUUUAUAAUUGUAGUUAGCCAUUAAAAAUUAUGCUGUAGGAGAUCAUCAGAUCAUAUGAAAAAUGUUCAUAAUACAUUGCCAAGCAUGGAAAGCAAGUUAAAAUAUUUGGGUUAAGGAUCCAGCAUCGUCACUGCUGUGGUGUCAGUUUGAUCGCCCAUGGGCAUGGCCAAAAAAAAAGUCAUGCAGUUUUUGCACUUGACUGUAGGUUUGGUAUAAAUACCUCAAUAAAGUUUUGCAUAUAGAUGUCCUAUUUUUUCAAAGAAGAUACACAUGUGUUACACUUGUAUAUCUGUGAAUAAGGAAAAGACAGAAUAUGUAAACCAGGUGUUAAUAAUGAUUGCCUCUGGGUGGGAGAAUUACAAAUGAUUUUUUUGACUGUGCUCGUGUAUAUAAAAGUUCCCAGGCCAGGGAUUGAACCCAUGCCACAGCAGUCAUAGCAGUAACUACUGGAUCUUUAACCUGCUGAGUCAUAGCAGAGUCAUAGCAGUAACUACUGGAUCUUUAACCUGCUGAGCUGCUAGGGAACUCCACAGAUGGAUUUUUAUAUUCAUUUGUGAUUCUUUGCUGUAUAUUUCAGGUUUUUUUCAAUGAACAGGUGUUACUUUUUUGAUUAGAAAAAAAUAUGUGUGUAUAAAUAUAUAUGUAUAAUUUUUUUUUUUUUUUCAGACCACAAGUAUGGCAUAUGGAAGUUCUCAGCUAGGGGUCACACUGGAGCUACAGCUACGAGCCUGUGCCACAGCCACAGCAGUGCCAGAUCUGAGCUGCACUUUCGGCCUAAACCAUAGCUUGAGGCAACUUAGGAUCCUUAACCCACUAAGUGAGGCCAGUGAUUGAACCCACAUCCUCAUGGGUACUGACUGGGUUCGUUUCCACUGAGCCACAAUGGGAACUCCAGAAAAAAAUAUUUUUAAAAGUGGUUUUUAAAAAUUAAGGGGAGUUCCCUCGUGGCUCAGUGGGUUAAGGAUCCAGUAUUAGUUCAAUCCCUGGCCUGGGGACUGGCAAGUAUGGGCAUGGCCUAAAUAAAUAAAUAAAUUGGUGUUGUUAUGAAGAAAAAAAUUAAGGAAGAAGGGUAGGGAGAAAAUUUGAGGAAGGAUUUGUAAGCUAAGGGGCAAGGGCCCUGCAAUACCUGGCACAACUAAGGCCCUAUAAACUUUGUGAAAAUAGGUGAUUUAAAAAAAUAUAUACCCCAGGAGUUCCCGUCGUGGCGCAGUGGUUAACGAAUCCGACUAGGAACCAUGAGGUUGCGGGUUCGGUCCCUGCCCUUGCUCAGUGGGUUGACGAUCCGGUGUUGCUCUGAGCUGUGGUGUAGGUUGCAGACGCGGCUCGGAUCCUGCAUUGCUGUGGCUCUGGCAUGGGCCGGUAGCUGCAGCUCUGAUUGGACCCCUAGCCUGGGAACCUCCAUGUGCCACAGGAGCGGCCCAAGAAAUGGCAAAAAAAAAAGACCAAAAAAAAAAAUGUAUAUAUAUACCCCAGAGUUCGCAUCAUGGCUCAGUGGAAACGAACCUGACUAGCAUCCAUGAGGAUGCAGGCUCGAUCCCUGGCCUCGCUCAGUGGAUUAAGGGUCUGGUGUUGCCGUGAGCUGUGGUGUAGGUUGGAGAUGCAGCUUGGAUCUGACGUUGCUGUGGUGUAAGCCAGCGGCGACAGCUCCUUUUUGACCUCUAGCCUGGGAACCUCUAUAUGCCAUGGGUG
rnacentral:lncRNA from 1 species